UGUGACUUCCGUAAUGCAUAGGGAUAGGUACGUAGAAUUAGAGCAUUAACACUUCCAGUACAUGAUGUUUUGAUGUGGAAUAUUGAAAAUCAAAUAAGCAAAAACCAAAACCAUGACAAGCCGGUUCUGAAGAGCCCUUCCAUUUUUGAGAAGGCUGUGGGUUUAGUUCAGCAUCUCCAGAUGUGUCACACAGAUUCAAGGGCUUUCAAGAAGUCACUUCUUUGAAGUGUUGAAGAUGGUGAAUUCUGCUAGACAGAGCGCUUGUCUAAUCAAAUUCUGCUAGACAGAGCACUUGUCUGAUCAAACCUCUUAACUCCAAGGUUUGUUCUGCAGGUCCUGAUGGUGGCACAGGCAUUAAGCAGCCCAGAGCUCGUCACUGGGGAGAGGCUGCGCACUGUGUUGUGAAGGGAGAGAUGGAAGAGGGGUUUGAACAGCGUUGUGCAGGAAUGGAAAGCUGGUAAGAGAAGAGGUUACUGCCCUUCCAAGUGCGCUGCGGAUGGGCAGCACGAUGACAGCCCAAGGAUGGCAGCAGGAGAUGCAGCACAGCCCUCUCCAGCAGCAAGGCAGUGAAGGACUUCCCUUGCUGUGUAGGAAUGGUUCCCGUGCAAGGACAUGGUCGUCUGCCUGGAACAGAUACUGAAGGCAGGAGACGGGCAGCGGUACUGCAGCUCCUCUGGCAGUUUUGCAGCUACGUCAGGAAGCAGAAGAUGUGGAUUGGAAAGAACUCAGUUCUUGGGACGUUCCCCAGU
rnacentral:lncRNA from 1 species